rnacentral:rRNA from 1 species
AUCAGCGGCCUAGCACCUGACGAUCUUUCCUAGAAUGUUGAAACGAUGUUAAAGUCUCACACAUCGCAUUCUAGAUCAUCGGUUCCAGAUCCGUAACGGAGAGCAGCAUUGGCGAAAUUUGACACCACUAGGCAGCAAGGCCUGAGGCAGCUUGCUGAGUAGUCGAACACAAGACUACAGAUUCGUCAAGCACUUUCAGUUCAUGAGAAUGGUUGAUGUAAGUUUAAUAGCUUGCGUAUUUUGACACUAAAGCGACAAGAAGAAAGCACUGGCUAAACUCCCGUGGCCCAGCAGCUGCUGUAAUACGGAGGGUUGCUAUCAUUAAUAGGAAUUACUCGGCGUAAAAGCGCACGCAUGUUGGUUUUUUUAAGUUAGAUGUGAAAGCCCCGGGGCUCAACCUCGGAAUUGCAUUUGAAACUGGCAGACAAGAGUACUGUAGAGGGGGGUAGAAUUUCAGGUGCAGCGGUGAAUGCGUAGAGAUCUGAGGAAUACCGGUGGCGAAGGCGGCCCCCGGGACAGAUACUGACACUCAGAUGCGACAGCGUGGGGAGCAAACAGGAUUAGAUACCCUUGGUAGUCCACGCCGUAAACGAUGUCUACUGGAGGUUGUGGCCUGAGCCGUGGCUUUCGGAGCUAACGCGUUAAGUAGACCGCCUGGGGAGUACGGUCGCAAGAUUAAAACUCAAAUGAAUUGACGGGGGCCCGCACAAGCGGUGGAGCAUGUGGUUUAAUUCGAUGCAACGCGAAGAACCUUACCUACUCUUGACAUCCAGAGAACUUUCCAGAGAUGGAUUGGUGCCUUCGGGAACUCUGAGACAGGUGCUGCAUGGCUGUCGUCAGCUCGUGUUGUGAAAUGUUGGGUUAAGUCCCGCAACGAGCGCAACCCUUAUCCUUGUUUGCCAGCGAGUAAUGUCGGGAACUCCAGGGAGACUGCCGGUGAUAAACCGGAGGAAGGUGGGGACGACGUCAAGUCAUCAUGGCCCUUACGAGUAGGGCUACACACGUGCUACAAUGGCGCAUACAGAGGGCGGCCAACUUGCGAAAGUGAGCGAAUCCCAAAAAAUGCGUCGUAGUCCGGAUCGGAGUCUGCAACUCGACUCCAUGAAGUAGGAAUCGUUUGUCAUCGUGGAUCAAAAA